UAAAAAAGAAAAUGCUUCCUAUGUUACAGACGUAGAUUUUUCUUUUUGUUUGUUUGUUUUUAGUUUUUGGCUUUACCUCACAUUUUCCUGGAGAGUAAAUAAUGAAAAAAAAUUGAAAGUUAAUGAAAGUGAGGUGUGCCAUCAGAAUUAUGUGAUCUUAGUGCUGAAUUUCCCCUGGAAUUUUUCAGAGGUACAAACUGAACAAAAGCAUCUCAAACCUGUGGAAGGGGAUAUGUAUGCCUCAAAUACAACUUGAAUUCCCCAAGUAAUACGGAGUGUUGACUAGAAGCCAGCAUCACAAUGCAGGCAAAUAUGUUCUGAUUUGAAGCUCAUAUCUAAUAUUUCUAAUUUUUUGAGGUAAUCAGAAGGUAACCUUGCCUUGAGUGUCCAGUCUAACUGGUGUUAGCAAACCUAGGAAAAGUACUAAUCCCAUAAGUAAAGACAGGUAUGGUUGAGUGAUAACAUUUAAACAGUAUUUUUGGAUUUUCAGGAAGGAUCUUUGAGAACAGGAACUUCUGUACCCUUCAGCAAAAGUCUCUCACCCGUUUGGAUGACAAUACAAGUUCCUAAAAUUCAGUGAUGAGAACCUUGGCCUUCUGAGGUGAAUAUUUUCAUCUCUAAAAUACACUUUUCUUUCCACCUCCUUUCCUGUGACUCAGAAAUACUGUGGCUGGCUGAUGGUGCAGAAAGAGCUGCUACAACUAAGGUAAUUUAGAAGAGGAAGGAUGGAACAGACCCAUAAUCAGAACAAUGCCUAAUGCUCUGGGAAAUGGUCUAAAUACAGUUCAUGAGCUGUGGCAGAGAAUGGAAGGUUUCAGUUACAGAUCUUUAUUUCCACGUAGAAUCAGGCGAUUUCCUUCCCUCUCCACAAGUGUUGAGAGUGGUUUUUGUGUUCCUGCAUAACACCAGCCCUGCAGCUCAUGACAGAGGAGACAAAAUGCUUCUCCUCACCCCCCAGAUAAUGCUGGGAACAACAGUCUGCUGCGAUGGCCGGGCAGGGGCUGAGGUGGGCACGUCUCAGGCCGCCACAGCGCCGAGGCCCUGAGGAGACACACGAAACUCCUCAAAAUGGCGCCUCUCCCCUCAGGUCUCCCCCCAGCGGCCGGCCCAUUCUUCGGUGAGCCACCCCCCUCAGGCUUUCUGGGGCACGCUGUCCGGCUCUGAAGGAGCAGGGCAAGGAGGUUGGGUCUGUCCCUGAGCAACAUCUGUGAAAUGACGGCAGCUUUAAGGUUCAGAGGAACUGCAGGAGGAAAUGUGCUCCACCCUGUCAGGUGGGUCUUCGCGCUGCACAGGGGAGCCAUGCUGUCCUCUCCCCACACAGCAAUUCUGUUGCCCCUUCUGUGCUGGCCAGGCUUUCUGCUGAUAGUUAUCAAACAACUAUAAAAGUGCCGCCAUUUGAAAUAUUCUUCAUGGUGGGGAUUGCUAUUAACCCCUUGCCUGCUUUUCUCUCAGGAUUUCUGAUGCUGGGCGCCUGCCCCUUCAGGCCACCACGCCAAUAAAAAAAUACCCACCUAAGCAUGCCCGUGUCACAUUUUCACUCAUAAACACAACAAGGCCACAUCCCAGUUACCCAUAUUGUUGAAUUCCCAGUAUGGCCCCACCAGAGCACCCUGAAACCACCUUGGUACGGCUGAAGGCUAUCUUUGUGCCUGAAGUCAGCCAGGCCAUGGGCACUAUUUGGGAGAUCACGUGGAGAAAGGUACAAAAUUUCAGACAUAAAAGAUGCAAGCCAUGCUGAGAGCAUUUAUUUGUUCAUAUGAACACCACCAGUGUGCCCAUAAUGCACCAGUCCCCCCAGCAGGUGCUGUUGGGCUCUUUUAGUGACUGCAACUGUCUGUGAGGAGAGCAGGACAGGUGCUUGGGGAGCCGUUACUGCGAUCAGGUGUUGCCCAAAAGUAAUUUAUCAGUGGGGGGGAGACAGCGGCUGUGCUGUUCUCCGAACAUAGUCUCUGGCAGCUGGGCCUCUCUGGCUUGGUGCCUCAAAUGUCCACAGUGGCACGGAAGCUGCAAGAUGGAGUCUGGGCUAGCAGUGGCUGCAACGGCCACCAGGCUGGGCAGGCCUCCUUUCCCUGCUGCUUUGUGUGCCUGGUGGUACCAGGCAGCAGGAGAUCAGCGCAUGCUCCAGGAGAAAGCUGGAUCACCACACUGGUGAACACCCUGCACCCUCUGCUGUUGGCUGUCACAACACAUACAGAAGCUCGUUCCUUGGCACUUCCUUUUGAGUGGCCCAGGCUGAGGGUCUCUGCUCAAUAAGCUGCAGUGGUUCCUGUCCUCUAGCACUCUGUUGAGCUUCCAGAAUUUGAGAAUGCGAAGAAAUCACUCUCCAAUCUGCUCUGUGAGUUUAAGUAAAAACCCUGGCAACAUGCAGUCCUAGGCAUGGACAAGUUACCUGAUAUUCACACCACAUUGCUAAUGCAGGGACUGGUAUAGACAGACAUAGUGAAUAUGCAAAACCACGUGUGUACUGAAGCCAGCUACUUACUGUUCUGAGUGCCUGGCAUGACUUCCUGCUUGGUGGGAAAGGAUUGUUUUUACCAGGCAGUCUCUAGGGCCCUCAAGUCCUCUAUGUUAAGACUGUCAACUAAGAUCAGCUGUAAUGGUGUGUUCGUGAUAUGGCUAUCUGGUCUAGCAGGAAUGAGGCUGAAAAUGACAUAUUUUACACUGAACUGCAGGCAGCUGCAAUGUGAUAAUGUCUGAUGGAGUAACUGUAGACCUGAUUGGGAUUUAAUUUUGCUUGACUCCAGUGAAGACAAAUAGGAGUUCUGCUGCUGACUUCAGCAGGGUCAGGAUGAUCUAUCACCAAUCUCUUUCUGUCCCCUGUGAUGUAUCUGUGAGGAAUUCAUGUAAGAACCGGCUUCUGAUCAAUGCUUCCUUCCUUCCUGCAGUCAGCUUUAUACGGUACAGUGUUAUCUUGUAUUCAAAUGACUGUUACUUGGAUGUUCCACCAAGCCAGCCAAUUAAAUAUUACUCAAAAAAGGACCUUGGCAAAACAGCACUUGCUGAUGUCUAUGACGCAAGAAUGACUCUCUUCUUUGAAAAACAGAGCAAUUAAAGGGGAAAAUAAACUCACAUAAAAUUGAAGAGGUUGAUCCUACUUUAUAACUGGUCCCAUGCUUUCCCAUCAGGGCAGCAGCUGCUUUCUGUGCAACGUGCAUCUGUACAUUCAAAAUACAAACAGCAUUUUCGUCAGUACCACUAAAUUUGGCAAUUAUUCCGAGUAGUCCAAAAUUUGUAUCUCUUUCAGCUAUAAGUUUACUUGUAAUCAGCCUCAAGUUUUAUUUCUGUUCGUUCAGGACUCUAGAGAAACCCAUUACAAACAUUUGGGCAAAAUGUUCUUGAUUUUUUGAAUGCAAAUUACAUUUAAAAAAGAUAACUCUUAUUAGGUGGAGAAGAUAUCUGUUUUGUUUUAGUGCUAGAGAGAUGCAUUUGGAGAAUUAGUCUGUGCUGCAUAGCAUACUGAUACUGACUACAGCAGUUAUUGAUCUCUUACACUUCUCCUAUCUGAGUGAUGGUGAGCCUGUCUCUCACCAUCUUUAGAAACUGAACCAUAGACAGACUGAAUUGCUUCUCCAGCGUCUGGUAUGAAGUCUGAACCCAGGCCCUACAUGCUCUUUACUAGUGCAACAGCUAUGGGAGUGUUCAUAAAUACGCAUUUUAAUGAACUUAAAUUAAACUACUCAGAAACCAAGGGAGAGAAGUAACCAAAAUGUAGGUGUCUACUUGCUCCCAUUCUCCAAAUGAACACGUUUGGAGUACCCAUUCUGGAUACAACCCUGACAACUACGUGCAAGUAAUGUACCAGCAUGCUAAAGUGCAAACACAUUCUUGCAUGCAGCAAAUGAUUGCAAGCAGACCUUGGUGCUCUUCUCUACUUACCUCUACUGUACUGUAGUAACACUGUCUGUAAUAACUCAUUUUUCCUACUUUAAGAUGAAAGAUUAGGGUUAAUUCUGAGGCAAAGAAACCUUGCUGGUACUGCCCAUACAAGAGACAACUGAGAAAGUUGAGGAGACCGCAGCCCAGCAUGAGGGCAAUGAGCAUGCUAAAGCCCUGGAGACAUGCCUCAAAGGAAGCUUUCUUUAAAGAAAAAGCAACAGCUCAAAUAGCGUUGUGCCACGUGUUUACUGCUUGUACUAUUUCUCUACUGGUGUAAAAGAUGAAUGUUUUGCCUACCAGUUCUUCGUUGUUACUUGGAGGUGUGGUUGUGGAACCAUAUGGAGUGAGGAUGUACUGCCCGUAGGAGUGUAUCGUUAAAUAGCACAAAAUGUCGGUCUUCUUCUUUUCAAUAAACUGGGCCACAGCUCUUGUCUCAGGCUCUGAUUCUGGUCCAGAUCCACAGAAGAUUUCACUGGUGCAGUUAUAAGAAACACCAACACCUGGGGAGGAAUACAAAAAGUGAAUUAAAGGAGAGACAUAUUAACUCCAGUUCAGAGAGAAGUUUACCUGGGGGUGUUAGGUGUGUGGGGGGAGGGGCAGGCAGACUA